rnacentral:rRNA from 2 species
AAAUUGAAGAGUUUGAUCAUGGCUCAGAUUGAACGCUGGCGGCAGGCCUAACACAUGCAAGUCGAACGGUAACAGGAAGCAGCUUGCUGCUUCGCUGACGAGUGGCGGACGGGUGAGUAAUGUCUGGGAAACUGCCUGAUGGAGGGGGAUAACUACUGGAAACGGUGGCUAAUACCGCAUAACGUCGCAAGACCAAAGAGGGGGAUCUUCGGGCCUCUUGCCAUCAGAUGUGCCCAGAUGGGAUUAGCUUGUUGGUGAGGUAACGGCUCACCAAGGCGACGAUCCCUAGCUGGUCUGAGAGGAUGACCAGCCACACUGGAACUGAGACACGGUCCAGACUCCUACGGGAGGCAGCAGUGGGGAAUAUUGCACAAUGGGCGCAAGCCUGAUGCAGCCAUGCCGCGUGUAUGAAGAAGGCCUUCGGGUUGUAAAGUACUUUCAGCGGGGAGGAAGGUGUUG